UGUUCCGUGGCCUUUCAGAAGACGAACCAAAGUUUCUCUCCUGAUUCACACCGGCGUCGCUGCCCGUCGCUGACCGUCAUCCUGUGGAUUUCUCAUCCCCGGCGGUAACUCCGCGCGCCGCGGGGGGUUCCGUUUCCGAGUUCGUGAAGUUGCCAUGGCGGCGAGGCGGACCCUUAACUCCCAGGGUUCUGGAAUAGGAACCCGGCCGAGGCUGAGUGAAGCCCAGGGAGCUCAAGAAGACCUGAGACAAGAUGAAGUUCCAGAAGAUGAUGGUGAUGGAGGUGUUGGCGGUUACGAUGCCGAUCAUGAUGGGGUGCAGCAUGUUGACUGAGUGUGGCUGAACUCUUCCUGGAUCGCGCUUUCUGCCUGGGUUGUCCUUCGCCUUGGCCUCGGUGCUGAUCUUCUUGGAGAAGACCUCGGUGAGGAUGAAGGCCCAGUACAAGAUGGUGAUGGAGGUGUUGGCGGUGACGAUGGCGAUCAUGACCGGGUGCAGCAUGUUGGCGGGACGGGGUGCGCUCUCUGCUCUGUCCCGGGGUCGCUGGGCUCCUCCGCUUUUUGGCGUCUGAGUGAGUGCGGGUCCCUCCCUCUCUGGCUCUCCAAUAAUGAGCCUUUCCUCACCCCUAACACCACCCCGCCCUGC